UGACGGUACCUGCAGAAGAAGCGCCGGCUAACUACGUGCCAGCAGCCGCGGUAAUACGUAGGGCGCAAGCGUUAUCCGGAUUUAUUGGGCGUAAAGAGCUCGUAGGCGGUUUGUCGUGUCUGCCGUGAAAGUCCGAGGCUCAACCUCGGAUCUGCGGUGGGUACGGGCAGACUAGAGUGAUGUAGGGGAGACUGGAAUUCCUGGUGUAGCGGUGAAAUGCGCAGAUAUCAGGAGGAACACCGAUGGCGAAGGCAGGUCUCUGGGCAUUUACUGACGCUGAGGAGCGAAAGCAUGGGGAGCGAACAGGAUUAGAUACCCUGGUAGUCCAUGCCGUAAACGUUGGGCACUAGGUGUGGGGGACAUUCCACGUUUUCCGCGCCGUAGCUAACGCAUUAAGUGCCCCGCCUGGGGAGUACGGCCGCAAGGCUAAAACUCAAAGGAAUUGACGGGGGCCCGCACAAGCGGCGGANCAUGCGGAUUAAUUCGAUGCAACGCGAANAACCUUACCAAGGCUUGACAUGUGCCAACCGCCUCAAAAAUGGGUUCCUUCCGG
rnacentral:rRNA from 1 species